GAGUUUGAUCCUGGCUCAGAAUGAACGCUGGCGGCGUGGAUAAGACAUGCAAGUCGAACGAGAAACACGAAUAGCUUGCUAAUUGUGUUUCUAGUGGCGGACGGGUUAGUAACACGUGAGCAACCUGCCUCGAAGCGGGGGAUAGCCUCUCGAAAGGGAGAUUAAUACCGCAUGUGACCUACGGGUUAAAGGUGCCUUCGGGUAUCGCUUCGAGAUGGGCUCGCGGCCUAUCAGCUUGUUGGUGAGGUAACGGCUCACCAAGGCGACGACGGGUAGCUGGUCUGAGAGGACGAUCAGCAACACUGGAACUGAGACACGGUCCAGACACCUACGGGUGGCAGCAGUCGAGAAUCAUUCACAAUGGGGGCAACCCUGAUGGUGCACCGCCGCGUGGAGGAUGAAGGCCCUAGGGUCGUAAACUCCUGUCAUAUGAGAG
rnacentral:rRNA from 1 species